rnacentral:rRNA from 1 species
UACGAAGGGGGCUAGCGUUGCUCGGAAUCACUGGGCGUAAAGGGUGCGUAGGCGGCCAACUAAGUCAGACGUGAAAUCCCUCGGCUUAACCGGGGAACUGCAUCUGAUACUGGAUGGCUUGAGUUCGGGAGAGGUGAGUGGAACUGCGAGUGUAGAGGUGAAAUUCGUAGAUAUUCGCAAGAACACCAGUGGCGAAGGCGGCUCACUGGCCCGGUACUGACGCUGAGGUGCGAAAGCGUGGGAGCA